GACGAACGCUGGCGGCGUGCUUAACACAUGCAAGUCGAACGAUGAAGCCGGAGCUUGCUCCGGUGGAUUAGUGGCGAACGGGUGAGUAACACGUGAGCAAUCUACCCUUGACUCUGGGAUAACUGCGGGAAACUGUAGCUAAUACCGGAUACGACACCUUGGGGCAUCCCAGGGUGUGGAAAGAAUUUCGGUCAAGGAUGAGCUCGCGGCCUAUCAGCUAGUUGGGGGGGUAAUGGCUCACCAAGGCGACGACGGGUAGCCGGCCUGAGAGGGUGACCGGCCACACUGGAACUGAGACACGGUCCAGACGCCUACGGGAGGCAGCAGUGGGGAAUAUUGCACAAUGGGCGAAAGCCUGAUGCAGCAACGCCGCGUGAGGGAUGAAGGCCUUCGGGUUGUAAACCUCUUUUAGCAGGGAAGAAGCGAAAGUGACGGUACCUGCAGAAAAAGCACCGGCUAACUACGUGCCAGCCGCCGCAGUAA
rnacentral:rRNA from 1 species